rnacentral:rRNA from 1 species
UGGGGAAUAUUGGACAAUGGGCGCAAGCCUGAUCCAGCCAUGCCGCGUGAGUGAUGAAGGCCCUAGGGUUGUAAAGCUCUUUCACCGGUGAAGAUAAUGACGGUAACCGGAGAAGAAGCCCCGGCUAACUUCGUGCCAGCAGCCGCGGUAAUACGAAGGGGGCUAGCGUUGUUCGGAUUUACUGGGCGUAAAGCGCACGUAGGCGGACUAUUAAGUCAGGGGUGAAAUCCCGGGGCUCAACCCCGGAACUGCCUUUGAUACUGGUAGUCUUGAGGUCGAGAGAGGUGAGUGGAAUUCCGGGUGUAGAGGUGAAAUUCGUAGAUAUUCGGAGGAACACCAGUGGCGAAGGCGGCUCACUGGCUCGAUACUGACGCUGAGGUGCGAAAGCGUGGGGAGCAAACAGG